rnacentral:rRNA from 1 species
UACGAAGGGGGCUAGCGUUGCUCGGAAUCACUGGGCGUAAAGCGCACGUAGGCGGAUUCUUAAGUCAGGGGUGAAAUCCUGGAGCUCAACUCCAGAACUGCCUUUGAUACUGGGAAUCUCGAGUCCGGGAGAGGUGAGUGGAACUCCGAGUGUAGAGGUGAAAUUCGUAGAUAUUCGGAAGAACACCAGUGGCGAAGGCGGCUCACUGGCCCGGUACUGACGCUGAGGUGCGAAAGCGUGGGGAGCAAACAGG